AUUGAACGCUGGCGGCAUGCCUUACACAUGCAAGUCGAACGGUAACAGGUCUUCGGAUGCUGACGAGUGGCGAACGGGUGAGUAAUACAUCGGAACGUGCCCGAUCGUGGGGGAUAACGGAGCGAAAGCUUUGCUAAUACCGCAUACGAUCUACGGAUGAAAGCAGGGGACCGCAAGGCCUUGCGCGGACGGAGCGGCCGAUGGCAGAUUAGGUAGUUGGUGGGAUAAAAGCUUACCAAGCCGACGAUCUGUAGCUGGCCUGAGAGGACGACCAGCCACACUGGGACUGAGACACGGCCCAGACUCCUACGGGAGGCAGCAGUGGGGAAUUUUGGACAAUGGGCGAAAGCCUGAUCCAGCCAUGCCGCGUGCAGGAUGAAGGCCUUCGGGUUGUAAACUGCUUUUGUACGGAACGAAAAGACUCUUUCUAAUAAAGAGGGUCCAUGACGGUACCGUAAGAAUAAGCACCGGCUAACUACGUG
rnacentral:rRNA from 1 species